AGGCCUAGGCCUAGGCCUGGGCCUGGGCCUCCUCUAAGGGAAGCGCGGUGGCCGCUCCCCUGUUUUCAGCCACCCUGGAACAGGCCCUCACGGCGGGGCCCGCUGGAGCGUCCCGAGGCGCGCAGCUUUCUUGAGGACAGACUGAAGAAUGAUGCUUUCGGAUCUCUGCAGGAUAUCAUCCAGGCUAGCACUGGAAUUCCUGACGCACUUAUCAUGGAUUUAUUUUCCAGCUACUGGUUUUUAAGAGUUCUGUACCGCAGCAACAGUGAAGAUCAGAAUCCCAUUACGGUACAAGGAAUUCACCAAGGAGAAGUCUGGGAAGACAAACCUGCCAAGGUGCCAGCAUUGCCUCCCUAACAUGCCAGUCUGCAUACCUGCCAUUGCUCCAGAAGACUGAAAAACGAGAUCCUGCAAAUCGUGCGACGCCCAGCCAGACCUUAGAUGACCAAUUGUUUAUGAAAAGGCAUAAGGCUUAUUUGACUACCGAAGCAUCCGAGAAGGAAGGCGGUGAGGAGGGAGAGGCCCUUGACAGAUGAUACAUCCAUCACACUCCUCACUCCUCAGCAGAGCUCUGUGUCAGUGGUGCAUAUUCGCUUUAGCAGGCAAAGAUUCGCCAUCUCUUAUUUCCUGCCUUUAGAUUUUCUUGGCACGUCAGGAUCCAUGUCCUCCCUGCACACCCUGUGACUGUAACUUCAAGUGGCAGUGCCUGAAUUCAUACAGCUCUUGCCUUCCCUGUACACCCCAACGUGUCAUAGCCAGGCUCUGCUCUAGCUUCAGGACACACUGGAACGUGACCUGGGGGAGGGACAGGGGGAGAAGAGGAAAGAUAGCUGGGGGUGGUGAGGAAGGGAUUUGAGUAGGAAAGAUAUUGGCUCGUGUUCAUUAAUUCUUGAGCUUUACAUG